rnacentral:rRNA from 1 species
GAUGAACGCUGGCGGCGUGCCUAACACAUGCAAGUCGAACGAGGGUGCUUGCACCCUAGUGGCGAACGGGUGAGUAACACGUAGGUAACCUGCCUUUAAGCUUGGGAUACCCAGAGGAAACUUUGGCUAAUACCGGAUAACAAUGGAAGAGGCAUCUCUUCUAUUUAAAAGGCCCGUAUGGGUCACUUAAAGAUGGACCUGCGGCGCAUUAGCUAGUUGGUGAGAUAACAGCCCACCAAGGCGAGGAUGCGUAGCCGACCUGAGAGGGUGAUCGGCCACAUUGGAACUGAGACACGGUCCAAACUCC